rnacentral:lncRNA from 1 species
CAAUCCUGAUAUGGAUCUGUAGAGGGAAUAUACCCCAUGCACUGUAUCUGAAAACUUAAGCAAAUAUAUUUAAAAGGAAGACCAGAAACAAGUGCAAAGGGGAUAUAAAUUAAUAGCUGAAUUCAAAUUUGGAGAAAGCUUGUCAUGACAAGGUGAGUUCCCAGUAAGGUUUGAAGAAUGAAGGUAUGUAAUUUGAUAGAGAUGCAAGAAAGACGGCAGCCAGCGUUCCACAGCAACCUGGAUUUGGAGCAUCGCAUCUUGUUUAAUUCUGUUGGUUCUCUAAAGGGCUUGAGAUGGAAAAUAAGAAUGAAACUCAAAAAGGAGGCAACUGAAGUGAAUAAUCACUUCUCAGCGUACAAAUGUUCAAUACAUAUGAGAAAAAAUGUUCACAAGCGAACACUAGAGAGAUGCACUGGCCACUAUGGAAACUCAAAUCAAGACAACACUGAGAGUAUUCCAG